UACGGGGGGUGCGAGCGUUGUCCGGAAUCACUGGGCGUAAAGGGCGCGUAGGCGGUCAGCACAAGUCAGUUGUGAAAUCUCCGAGCUUAACUCGGAAAGGUCAACUGAUACUGUGCGACUAGAGUGCGGAAGGGGCAACUGGAAUUCUUGGUGUAGCGGUGAAAUGCGUAGAUAUCAAGAGGAACACCUGCGGCGAAGGCGGGUUGCUGGGCCGACACUGACGCUGAAGCGCGAAAGCUAGGGGAGCGAACGGG
rnacentral:rRNA from 1 species